rnacentral:rRNA from 1 species
AGUGAACGCUGGCGGUAGGCCUAACACAUGCAAGUCGAACGACAGCACAGUAAGAGCUUGCUCUUACGGGUGGCGAGUGGCGGACGGGUGAGGCAUACAUCGGCAUCUACUUUUUCGUGGGGGAUUACGUAGAGACACUUACGCUAAUACCGCAUACGACCUACGGGUGAAAUCAGGGGAUAUUCGGACCUUGCGCGACUCAAUUAGCCGAUGUCGGAUUAGCUAGUUGGCGAGGUAAAGGCCCACCAAGGCGACGAUACGUAGCUGGUCUGAGAGGAUGAUCAGCCACACUGGAACUGAGACACGGUCCAGACUCCUACGGGAGGCAGCAGUGGGGAAUAUUGGGCAAUGGGCGCAAGCCUGAUCCAGCCAUACCGCGUGAGUGAUGAAGGUCUUCGGGUUGUAAAGCCCUUUUGUUGGGAAAGAAAAGCUGCAGGAUAAUCCACCGCUGUUCUGACGGUACCCAAAGAAUAAGCACCGGCUAACUACGUG